rnacentral:lncRNA from 13 species
AUGGGGCAAAUGGAUUGUCAAAGAGUGGUGGCAGACACAUACAUGGCGGCAUCUCCUCUGCUUUGUGCACCUGCUCCACUGUCUCAUCAGUCUUCAUUUACCGAUUCAAGACUAUACAGGAUGGCACUGGUGUCCAAGAGGCUCACUAGUGAAAUAGAUUCUGGGAUAACUGCCAGGACUAUGGCCUUGCUCUGUUGCCCGGGCUGAAGUGCAGUGGUGCAAUCUCAGCUGACUGCAACCUCCACCUCCCAGAUUCAAGCAAUUCUUCUGCCUCAGCCUCCCAAGUAGCUGGGGCUACAGGUGCAUGCCACCACACCCAGCUAAUAUUUUGUAUUUUUAGUACAUACAGGAUUUCACCAUGUUAGCCAGGAUGGUCUCAACCUCCUAACUUCGUGAUCCGCCCGCCUUGGCCUCCCAAAGUACUGUGAUUACAGGCAUAAGUCCCUGCGCCUGACCCGACAAUGGUUUUUUAGAUAUGCCAAUGCAUGCAUAAGCUGCAGCAGCAGCAACAAAUAUAUAUAUAAAUUCAGCUUUAUCAAAGUUAAAAAUAUUUGUGCUUGAAAAGACACCAUCAAGGAAGUGACAUAUAACCCACAGAAUGGGAGAAAAUAUUUGGAAGUAAUAUAUUUGAUGCUGACGGACUUGUUCCUAAAAUACAUAAUAGAAAACUUGCAAUUCACCAAUUUAAAAAAUCUAAUUGAAAAAAUGGGCAGAAGAUCUGAACAGACAUUUAUCUAAGAGGAUAUACAGAUACCCAAUAAGUAUAUAAAAGGUCGCUCAACGUCAUUAAUCAUUAAAAAGAUGCAAACUGAAGCUAUAAUGAGAUACCACUUCAUACAAAUUAGGAUAGCUGUCAUCAAAAAGACAACAUGUUGGUGAGGAUGUAGAAAAAUCAAAACCCUUAUACACUGCUGUUGGGAUUGAAAAAUGGUUCCGCUGCUUUGGAAAACAGGUUAGCACUUUCUCAAAAUGUUAAACAGAGUUCUCAUGUGACCUAGCAAUUCCACUCCUAGAUAUAUCCAAGAGAAAUGAAAACAUGUCCACACAAAAACAUGAACCCAAAUAUUUAUAAGAGCAUUAUUCAUGAUAACCAAAAAGUGGAAACAACCCAAAUGUUUACCUGCUGAUGAAGGGAUACAGAAUUGACAUGUAUAAUACAAUGAAAAUUAUUUGUUAAUUAAAGGGAAUGAAGUUCCAAUACAUGCUAGAAAUGGAAACCUUGAAAACAUGCUAAGCUACCCACAAAAGGCCACAUCUUCUGUGAUACCGUUUAUAUGAGAUGUCCAAGAUAAACAAAUCAUAGAGAUAGAGAAUAGAUAAGGGAUAGGGCAGUAGGGAAUGGGGAGUGGGUGCUAGUGUGUAUGAGAUUUUUGGGGGAGGGUGAUAAAAUAUUUCAGAAUUAAGUAGUAGUGAUGGUUUCACAACAUUGUAUUAUAUGUAAAUAAUAUUUCAAUAAAAUACUUUAAAAAUGUAUAAGGUCA